AGAGAGUAGGGUUUAGAGAGUAGGGGUUGGGGAGUUGGGAAUAGAGAGUAGGGACUAGAGAGCAGGGGCUAGAGAGUAGUGACUAGAGAGUAGAGAAGUAGGGGGUAGAGAGUAGGGACUAGAGAGUAGGGACUAGAGAGUAGGGGAUAGAGAGUAGGGGUUGGGGAGUAGGGACUGGAGAGUAGGGACUAGAGAGUAGGGGAAACAGAGUAGGGGUUGAAAGAGUAGGGACUAGAGAUUAGGGGUUGGGGAGUACGGACUAGAGAGUAGGGACUGGAGAGUAAGGACUAGAGAGUAGGGACUAGAGACUAGGGGAUAGAGAGUUGGGACAAGAGAGUAGGGGAUAGAGAAUAGAGAGUCGGGACUAGAGAGUAGGGGAUAGAGAGUAGGGACUAGAGAGUAGGGACUAGAGAG
ensembl:lncRNA